rnacentral:rRNA from 1 species
ACCCCGCCUGGGGAGUACGGCCGCAAGGCUAAAACUCAAAGAAAUUGACGGGGGCCCGCACAAGCGGCGGAGCAUGUGGAUUAUUCGAUGCAACGCGAAGAACCUUACCUGGGUUUGACAUGCACAGGACGCCAGUAGAGAUAUUGGUUCCCUUGUGGCCUGUGUGCAGGUGGUGCAUGGCUGUCGUCAGCUCGUGUCGUGAGAUGUUGGGUUAAGUCCCGCAACGAGCGCAACCCUUAUCUUAUGUUGCCAGCGCGUAAUGGCGGGGACUCGUGAGAGACUGCCGGGGUCAACUCGGAGGAAGGUGGGGAUGACGUCAAGUCAUCAUGCCCCUUAUGUCCAGGGCUUCACACAUGCUACAAUGGCCGGUACAAAGGGCUGCGAUGCCGUGAGGUGGAGCGAAUCCUUUCAAAGCCGGUCUCAGUUCGGAUCGGGGUCUGCAACUCGACCCCGUGAAGUCGGAGUCGCUAG